rnacentral:sRNA from 1 species
AAUGUUCGUCGCGGUCCUGUGGCGGUCGGACGAGCUUUCGAGACUGGGCCAAGUUAAGGUACAUGGGUGACGAUAUUAAUGGUUUCACACUGGCACUGGCUGGAUACAAGUUAACCAUCAAUAUUGCACUCACUGAUGCAAAUCUUCGCAGAUCCGCCGUCAAUGCCGAAAUGCUCGAAGGAUACAAAGACCUCGUAAAGAACGCGAAGACUGAUCUCGAGGCUCGUCUUGAAAUCAUCGACGGAAAACUUGAGC